AGUGCAGACGUCACAGGGAACUUCUCCUGGUUUGGAAACUUGUUGCUCUGAGCUGCUGCUGCUGGCUUUCUGUUGAGCUGACUGUCUGAACUGAGCAGCCAUCUCAGAGAUGAAAGUGUUGACCUGCAGCUCAGGUCUGGUGCUGAAAACCUUCUUACAGUUUGGACACUGACACUUGACAUUCAUUUUCCAGUGUGUAGUGAUGCAGGUUUUACAGAAGUUGUGUCCACAUGGUAUGGUGACUGGAUCAGUGAACACAUCCAGACAGAUGGAGCACAGAAACUGAUCUUCAGUCAGCAGACAGCUGGCAGCAGACAUAUCGAC